AGUCUGGGGGUAAUGGCACGGGGACCCACCAGCUUGUCUGCCGCCAUCUGGGAUGAAGUCUCGUUCUUGUCCCCCAGGCUGGAGUGCAAUGGCACGAUCUCAGCUCACUGCAACCUCUGCCUCCCGAGUUCAAGCAAUUCUCCUGUCUCAGCCUCCUGAGUAGCUGGAUUACAGAGUCUUUUCUAAGGCACCAACUACUUCCUUCAAGCAGCAGCCAGAGGUCUUUGCUCAAUGGCUGAGAAACACAGAGGAGAGACCCAGAGAGGAGGAGAAGGCCGCAUGAAGAUGGAGCAGAGACUGGAGCUAUUCAGCCAAGUCAAGGAAUGCCUGGAGCCACCAGAAGCCGGAAGAGGCAAGGAAGGAUCCUCCCUUAGAGCAUUUGGAAGAGUGUGGCCCUGCCAACACCUUGAUUUCAAACUUCUGGCCUCCAUAACUAUGAAAUAAAUUCUUGUUGUUUUAAGCCACCAAGUUUGUGGUAACUUCUUACAGCAACCCUAGGAAAUUAACACACAGAGUGUGAGUUACCUAAACAUUGUGAGCCUCAGUUACCUUAUCUGAAAAUGGGGCUAAAACUUAGACCUACCUUUUAGGGCUGCUUUAAGGAGUAAUAGAAAUUAUACAUGGGAAUUACAUGGCACCAAGUUGUUCCUUAAUAGAGGGAAACUGUUAUGAUGGCGGAAGAGCAGUAAUGAAAUACUGAAUUCAUCCAGCAGAUGGCAGAAGAUGGAUUUGCAAACAAGAGGACU
rnacentral:lncRNA from 1 species